rnacentral:rRNA from 1 species
AAAUGAAUAGACGGGGGCCCGCACAAGCGGUGGAGUAUGUGGUUUAAUUCGAUGCAACGCGAAGAACCUUACCUGGGCUUGAACCACGGCUUACAGAGGCUGAAAGGCCUUGCUCCUUCGGGAGGUGCCGUAGAGGUGCUGCAUGGCUGUCGUCAGCUCGUGUCGUGAGAUGUUGGGUUAAGUCCCGCAACGAGCGCAACCCUUGUCGUUAGUUGCCAGCGCGUCAUGGCGGGGACUCUAACGAGACUGCCGGCGUAAGCCGGAGGAAGGUGGGGACGACGUCAAGUCAUCAUGGCCCUUACGUCCAGGGCGACACACGUACUACAAUGGCCAGGACAGCGCGAACCAAGACCGCGAGGUGGAGGCAAUCGUCAAACCUGGCCCCAGUUCAGAUCGCAGUCUGCAACUCGACUGCGUGAAGCCGGAAUCGCUAGUAAACGCGGAUCAGCCAUGCCGCGUUGAAUACGUUCCCGGGCCUUGUACACACCGCCCGU